rnacentral:lncRNA from 1 species
CCUCUCUCUCUCUCUCUCUCUCUCUCUCUCUCUCUCUCUCUCGGCUUUUCUCUCCCUCUCUUUUCCCUUUCGUCCCCAACUUUGCUCGGAUUGCCUCUAGAAAUCUAAGGCGUCGCAAGCCGAUCCCGCCGACCCGACUGGACCUAAUGCACGGGGUAGGGCGACUCAUCCCAGGUCUAGGUCUAGACUCAGUUAGUGGGCUCAACUAGUUGGUACGAAUCCAAUUGACUUCGACGUGACUAGGGUUGGAUUUGGGGCGGUCCUUUCCAAACCAAAU